AUGAAUGAGCGGGCCUUGAUCCCACGAAAAUUAAUUAACAG
rnacentral:tRNA from 1 species